AGCAGCAGGUGUUCUGUAAAAGGGUUGGAUCUGAUGCCUUUUGGAGGCUACUAUAGGCUCUCCUUCUCAACUAAUACUCAAUACGUCCACGACGUGCAGAACGGUAACUUGUCACCUAGAUCCAAGCUUGGGUACACGGGGAAACC
rnacentral:ribozyme from 1 species